GUCCCUACGGGGCGCAGCAGUGAGGAAUAUUGGUCAAUGGGCGGGAGCCUGAACCAGCCAAGUCGCGUGAGGGAAGACGGUCCUACGGAUUGUAAACUUCUUUUGUCAGGGAGCAAUUGAGUCCACGUGUGGGCUUAGCGAGAGUACCUGAAGAAAAAGCAUCGGCUAACUCCGUGCCAGCAGCCGCGGUAAUACGGAGGAUGCGAGCGUUAUCCGGAUUUAUUGGGUUUAAAGGGUGCGUAGGCGGAAUAUCAAGUCAGCGGUAAAAAUUCGGGGCUCAACCCCGUCGUGCCGUUGAAACUGAU
rnacentral:rRNA from 1 species